CAGCCGUAAACAAUGUGCGUUAGGUGUGUCGGUAACCACGCGUUACUGAUGCGCCGAGGAGAAAUCGUGAAACGCACCACCUGGGAAGUACGGUCGCAAGGCUGAAACUUAAAGGAAUUGGCGGGGGAGCACCACAACAGGUGGAGCCUGCGGUUUAAUUGGAUUCAACGCCGGACAUCUCACCGGAUAAGACAGCUGAAUGAUUGUCAAUCUGAAGGUUUUACAUGACUAGCUGAGAGGUGGUGCACGGC
rnacentral:rRNA from 1 species